CUCAGAGCUCGAGUGCGUGAGGCAGAGCUGGUGGCACUUCGGAUCACUUCCAUCCAUCUGCGAGGAGGCACGAGGAGACACACAAACAAAAGAACGGUAUGAUAUCGAGGCAUCAUCUGGUAACAAGAAUGGUGGUAUACAAGAAAAUAUGCACCAUAUUCAUAAGGCUUCCUCUUCAGUGCCUUUAAAGGCAGAGGAUAAUCCUACUCAAGUAGAUUCAGCAGUUACACCUUUGGCUCAUUUGAAAGAUUAGAUGUCAAACAACUUGUAAAACCUAGCACACUCACAAGCUUUUCUACACACCCACUGUCUUCACCUUUUGCGGACAAGAAGCCAAGGAUACGUUCCUGCCAUCCUGCACUGACUCUUUAAUGUUUUGCCCUGUAACACUGGAAAAAAAAAAAAUCUAUGCACUCUGCAGGGCAUCCCAGUGCCCCAGCACCAAGGGCUCAGCAGCAGCAGGAUGGGGAGCUUGGGACGAAGUCAGCUGGCUGGGAAGAAGGAGAGAGGAGGAACCAUCUGGUCGGCUCUUGUGGAUCGGAGACCGAGUGGGAUCGCCAUAACCUGAAAAUGCUGAGUGAUGGUGGGAGGAGAUAACCUUUCCUAGUGCAAGAGCUACAAAAUGUACCUCUGGGCAAAGGCAGGUCCAUCAACAUGCUGCGCGCUCGUGGGCUGAAACUGGAUGGUUUGUGGAGAAACUUGGUUCUGUAAUGUGUCCCGAGAGCGUUAUGUGGAUUAUCGUUCAUACCACCAGGAGUUAUUCUUUAUCCUCUUUUCUGGAUAUGAUCACUAAUCCUGGUGCCACUUUUCAUUGUAUAACAGCUCUGCUUUUAUUUAAGACAAUGUGCUAGGAGGUAUUAUGAUGUAUUACAUACAUAAUACAGGUGAUGUAUUAUGUUAACUUAAAUAAGGCUGUUUAAAAAUACCGUAAUUCACAAUUCAAGUCUAACAGUAUGUCUGAUAGUUGCCUAUAGUUACAUUUUGUUAUGUAAAGAAAAACUGUCUUCUUGCUUACCAGAAAGAACAUCCGUUGCUGUAAACCUUUUCCAGACAACUUACUAAGACUACCCAGUCGAAUGAACUCCUGUGGGAAACAAAUACAAAACAAAUAUGUAUCUUCUGCAAAAACAAUGAUGAGUUUUUAUUAUGCAAACAUAAAUAUGACUACUUGGUCAUAGGACUGACUUGCCUAUCAGUCACCAAGAGUUUUUAUUUUCUUUAUUAAAUAUGUUAAAAGUCUUAUUUAUGGGAUAAUUUAUUUCCAUUUGUAACUGUCUUUAGGACAAACUCCUUCAUAGUCUUUCUUUCAUUUUAAGAAAAUUCAAGCAAAAUUUUCUUUACCUAACAUUGAUUCCUUCAGAGAGCUCCCUCUUUCAUCAGUUUUGAAUGAGUAUUUUUCAUGGUACAAAUGAUGUAAAAACUAAUGAUAAGUUGGCCUGUGUGUUAUUGGUUAGCCACUGGUAAGCUUCUGUUGUGCAUAUGGCAUACAUAGCUCUUCACUGAGAUGUAAAAUCAGCUACACAAAUCAACAUCACCAUCAGCAGCAGUAAAAGAAGGAAAUUUGUCUGGCAGUGCGAGUUAUCCUAGCACCAUCCAUGUCAUAUAAUACAGUACAUUAAUUCAGAUCAAACUGUUUAAGAAUGUUUAGGGAUGGAAUUCAAGGAAAAGCACCACAUCUGAACCUUUCAAAAUGCUCGAUUUCCUGGGCUUACUGUGAACUAUACCAUAACUCACCCCUCCACUUAUCUGAAAUCCAUGAAAGUAUCAUUUUUCAGUCGCUCCCUCGAGCUUCUGCCAAGAGGUUUAUAUUUAUUUAUUACAGUCUUUCUACGGUCAUUCUACUCAUAACUGUGCAUGUAAAAGGCAUAUAAAGCAUCAGAAUCACCUGCAGCUUAGGAAUAAACUGGCUAAGAUUAAUCUGUUCAGAGAGACACUCCGGUCACCUCAGGGUUGCUGUGAUGUGUCCAGUCCCCCCACCUGCAUCGCGUAAGGGCUAAGGGGUGGAAAAAGUGACUAGAGGUGGUUAUCCCUAUAUCACGGUAUGCCCACGUUACCAGAGAGGCCACUGGAAGCUGUUGCUGGCUACCAAAGAACAUUAAUCAUAAUUACUAUUUAUACAGUACCACCUAAUAGUCACUAGCAGGCUUAGCACCGCCACGGCAAGUGCUGUGCCAGCACACGAAUCAAGAGCGGCGGGGCAUUGCAAUCUGCCAGCGCAACUGACCGCGGCACGUUUUAACAUCCAGUAUAGGAACGUGCUGCGUGGCGGCAGAGACCCCAGCGUGGGACGACGUGAAGAGGAUGGCCACCUGCAGCCUCUUUUAGGACAGCUGGAAUCACCGGCCCGACACGAGACUUCUCCUCUGGGACACGGAGUUCACGUCAACCCAGCCGUGGGUGACGGUGGCAUGUGCCUCCCAGCCUGGCCUGCACCGGGGCAGGGAUUUCAACUGGAGCCAGAAGAGCAGCUGGAAGCAGCAACAUCUUGGGCAUGUGCCAGAGCGUGGUGGCCAAUGCUUUUUGCCUUGGCAGGCAAACCACCUCUGCCCCCCGUCUGCCUGUUUCUUGAACUUCCUAGGACAGGAAGACUGCUCUGUCUUUAAAUAGAAUAGGGUAGCAGGAACACCCGAUGACAGCACUUCAUUUCAUGUGAUAAGAGAGCUGCACGGGCUGUGAAAUGUCCUGAGGGGCUUGCCAAGGAAUUGGACAGUCUGUGGAUCACUGGAAGGAGGCGUAAGCCUGGGAGACAGGGAAGAGGCAAAGCGAGGGAGCGCGGAAGAGCCACAAAUCCAGAAAUACCUCUGCUCGGCACUGCCUUCCCAACGGCACAUCAACUUCAAACCCCUUUUUCUAAAUGUUUGAAUCCUUAAAUGAAAACUAGACCCUAGAGAGCUCAGCAAGCUGCCUCUGUGCCGCGACCUCGGCUCUCACGGAGCGGUGGUCCGGCCGUCCUGCAGGAGCGCAUCCGGGCUGGAUGGCUGGGCUGCAGGGCAAGUUCAAGCACUGCCGUAUUUGCAGUUCAAUGCAGAACUCAUCUUUUUUUCCAGGCUGUUUCCCAGAAAUGCAUAAGGGGCGGGAAUAGUCUAGCGAUGCAUUUUCCCCAGCAUUUCAGUUGCCGCAAGUGCUGUUUUUGUGUAUUACGGACAAAAGUCAAGGAGUGGGGAGGAAAUUACUACAACAGACAACUCUCAAGUUUGCACGCACAGAUACGUGCAUCUAGAAAAGUAAAAAAGGCUACAAAUAUUACAGUGAGGCUCAUUUAUUCUGAAUUAAACCUCAUUUUUAAAAAAGCAUGACAAUUAAGAAAGAGAUGCUGGUAUUUUUAUAACAUUAAAACAUUUUAAAAAACCCCAACAUUAAAAGUGUUUACUUAAGGCAACACUGUCUCAAAAAUUAUUGCCUAAUGUUACAUGUAGACUAGAGAGACUGCUUUGUCCCCAGGGCCAUGAGUUUCAAAGCUAGGCAUCGUGAAAGGGCUGAAGUGAAGGUCCUCCAGCACAAAUGUUUUACUUUCCUUUAAUCUGCCAAGCUCUAGCAUCAACGGUUGGAAAACAACAAAAAAAAAAAAAGGCCAGCAAGAAAUGAGGAAAUGUGCAACUGCUCAAGCUCUGAACGCUGUGAUAAAUACAUUUUUUACUGCCUCUGUUGUAAUAGAUGUUUGGAAUUGCCUACAACCAUCCAAAUCUAUACAUAAGAUAAACUUAAUAAAAAUCAGUAAAAAGGUAAUAAAGAUGAUUGCCUCUUCCUGCU